rnacentral:rRNA from 1 species
AUUGAACGCUGGCGGCAGGCUUAACACAUGCAAGUCGAGCGGGGGAAGGUAGCUUGCUACCGGACCUAGCGGCGGACGGGUGAGUAAUGCUUAGGAAUCUGCCUAUUAGUGGGGGACAACAUCUCGAAAGGGAUGCUAAUACCGCAUACGACCUACGGGAGAAAGCAGGGGAUCUUCGGACCUUGCGCUAAUAGAUGAGCCUAAGUCGGAUUAGCUAGUUGGGGGGGUAAAGGCCUACCAAGGCGACGAUCUGUAGCGGGUCGGAGAGGAUGGUCCGCCACACGGGGACUGGGACACGGCCCGGACUCCUACGGGAGGCAGCAGUGGGGAAUAUUGGACAAUGGGGGGAACCCUGAUCCAGCCAUGCCGCGUGUGUGAAGAAGGCCUUAUGGUUGUAAAGCACUUUAAGCGAGGAGGAGGCUACUCUAGUUAAUACCUAGGGAUAGUGGACGUUACUCGCAGAAUAAGCACCGGCUAACUCUGUGCCAGCAGCCGCCGUAA